GUUUGUUUGGAGCUAUAAGGAAUCUAACCUGCCCCCUGACGAAUAGUAUUAAAGGGCCGCAGUAUUCUAACUGUGCAAAGGUAGCAUAAUCAUUAGGUUUUUAAUUGGAAUCUUGUAUGAAUGGUUGGACAAAAGAAAAUCUUUCUUUAUAUUAAGUUUUGAAUUUAACUUUUAAGUGAAAAGGCUUAAAUAUACCAGGGGGACGAUAAGACCCUAUAAAACUUUACAUUAUAGUUUUAAUUUUACUUAAUUUAUGGGAUAAAAGUUUAGUUAGUGUUAUUUGUUAUGUUGGGGAGACAAAGGUAUAAUUUUUAUUUUAACUGCUUUAAAAGUUUAACAGUUAUUAUUGGGGUUUAAGAGAUCCUUUUUAAAGAUUAAUAGUUUAAGUUACUUUAGGGAUAACAGCGUAAUUUCCUUUAAGAGUUCUUAUCGAAAGGGGAGAUUGCGACCUCGAUGUUGAAUUAAAAUAUCUAUAUAAUGGAGAGGUUAUAUUAGAAGGUCUGUUCGACCUUUAAAAUUUU
rnacentral:rRNA from 1 species